GGUGAAAUUACAAGGCAUGAUCCUUGACUGACAUCUUGCCUGUUUUAGAUUAAUGAAUUCCUUUACUGUUGAAGAAAGAAGCAAUCCAAGAAAGCAUUAGAGAUAUUCUUCCAUAAAGAAGACUCAUCAACCUCACAGUUUUAUUGAUCCCACUCCUCGUACCAUUGGUAUGCCACAUUCUUUAACAGAUAAGUAGUAAAAUUCACCCUUUUCAUAUUUAUGGCCUAUAUGACCU
rnacentral:lncRNA from 1 species